UACGAAGGGGGCUAGCGUUGUUCGGAAUUACUGGGCGUAAAGCGCACGUAGGCGGAUUUGCCAGUCAGGGGUGAAAUCCCGGGGCUCAACCUCGGAACUGCCUCUGAUACAGCAAGUCUUGAGUCCGGAAGAGGUGGGUGGAAUUCCUAGUGUAGAGGUGAAAUUCGUAGAUAUUCGCAAGAACACCAGUGGCGAAGGCGGCUCACUGGCCCGGUACUGACGCUGAGGUGCGAAAGCGUGGGGAGCAAACAGG
rnacentral:rRNA from 1 species